CUUCAUUUUAUUUAUUAUUAUUAUUAUUAUUUUUUUUUUUUGAUCCCUAAACUUACGAAAAUUAUAGGUUUUAGUCCUCUACUUAUUUACUUACUUUUUGUACUUUAGUCCAUAAACUUUGGUCUGUAAACUUCAAUUAUGGUAGAAUUUGUCCCGAAAUGUUGAUACUUUUGAGCUUUUAAGUUCGAAUGCUUUUCAAAGCAAUGAACAUUUAUAAGAUUAUCUUAUGCUCUCAAAUUUUGUUGUAGAGAUGCUGCUGGCCUUCCAUUAGCUCUUGAAGUAUUAGGUUCCUUACUAUGUGGCAGGAGAAAAUACGAAUGGCAAAGUCCAAUACAGAAUUUAGAGAAGAAACGAAGUUAUAUGAAAUGCUUUACAGGAAUGAUGGAAGUCAUUUUCUUGGAUAUUGCAUUUUUUCUUUGGGGGAGAGGACAGAGAUUUUGUCAUCAAAAUACUCGGGAGUAGUAAUAUUUGCCCAGUCACUAAAACUGGAGUUCUCACUGAUAUGUCUCUUCGUAAAGACAGAGUUUAACAAAACUGAAAGUUGGUAAAUGCAGUAGCUUAUGGAUGUUUUUCAUGUAUACUCGGAAAACACAGUAAGAAUCAUCUAUAACUUCUACUUAUCAUACGAAAUAAAACUUUGUAUCCUUUAGUACUACCUAAUAUAUCAAGUGCUUUCUUCCUGAACAAUUAGGCAACCAAUUUGAAUGAAGGCAUUUUGCUGAGAUUGCCUGCACAGAAAACUCCGUCCUCUGAACAUGAAAAGGCUUUGUCUGCUUGUAUUUGGUAAUACAGUCCUUUCUACAGCCAUUAAAUAUCUCCUUGACGAGUUGAAGGUUUAUUAAUUUAUCUGGAUACCGGUUUCCUAACAAUUCCCUUCAAUUCGGGUCCAAAACAACUCUUCAUACUUACUCAACAUUCCUCAUAGCCAUAUCCAUCAACUGUUGGAAGAAUUCAAGAGAUGAAUCUCAUCUGAGCUAAAGAAUUGUUGAAGCUGUGUUGAGCAAAGUAAAUCAUACACUUCUACAUGUUGCCAGCCAAAUAUCCAGUUGGAAUUGAGACUGCUUACGGGAAUUGGAAACCCUAACAGAUGUUGGAACUGGGAAGAAUGAUGUGAAACUCUAGGGAUCUAUGGAAUUGGUGACACAGGCAAGACAAUAAUUGGCAAAGCUUUAUUCAAUAAAUUUGCUGAAGAAUUUGAAGGUUCCAACUUCCUUGCAGCAUGUUAGUUUUGUUCAACUACAAGACGCUUUUUGACAUGAUUGGGAAUAACAUUUUGAAAGUUGGCAAUAUUCAUAGAGGUGUCAAUACCAUAACGGUAAGACUACGAUACAAGGAGAGUACUUGUAGUUCUUGAUGAUGUUGAUGAACUAGAUCAGCUGGAGACAUCAGUAGGAAGGCAUGAGUGGUUUGGCUUAGUAAGUAGAAUCAUCAUAACUGGUAGAAAUAAACACUUUGCUAACCACUCAUGGAGCUAAUGUGAUAUAGGCAGGGGUAUUGGAUCAUUUGAGAGCGGUUCAACUCUUUAGUUGGAAUGCUUUUAAGAGGGAGAUACCAGCAGAAGAUUAUCUUAUGCUUUCAGAUCAUAUUGUUUAACAUGCUUGUGGCCUUCCUUUAGCUCUUGAAGUAUUGGGCACCUUCCUAUGUGGUAGAACAGAACAUCAAUGGCAAAGUGCAAUACACAAUCUGAAAAAGAAACCCAACAAGAAGUUAUACCAGAUACUUAGAAUAAGUUUAUGAUGCUUUGCAGGAUGAUUAGAAAGUUCUUUUCCUUGA